UAAUAAUUUUUUAUAAUUAUUAUUAUUUAUUAAUAACUAUUAUUAUUAACAAUUAAUAAUAAUAAUUAUUAUUAAUUAUUAUUAUUAAUUUGAUAAUCGAUAUUAUUAUUUUAUUAUUUAUAAUUAAUAAUUUAAUAAUUAUUAUUAUUUAUAAUUAAUUAUUAAUAAUUUAUUUAUUAUUUAUUUUUAAUUAAUAUUUUGAUGUUAAUUAAUUAGAUAAUAUAAUUUUAAUUUCGAAUUAUAACUCUUAUUCCUCUUGUUCCAAUUUAACCAUCCAAACACUAUUUAUCUUAUUUCUAGGAACAAUCCAAUUUUUAUCCAAACGCAAAAUUGGUCUAAUUCUUGCUUAUACCUUAACUUAUACCUAUCCCUGGAACAAGUAGUUCUUACUUAUACCCGAACCAAACGCAUAUGUGUAUAAAUAGCAUUAUUCAUGUCAAUAUUCAAAAUUAAGAUAAUUAUAA
rnacentral:lncRNA from 1 species